AUUGAACGCUGGCGGCAGGCCUAACACAUGCAAGUCGGACGGUAGCACAGAGAGCUUGCUCUCGGGUGACGAGUGGCGGACGGGUGAGUAAUGUCUGGGGAUCUGCCCGAUAGAGGGGGAUAACCACUGGAAACGGUGGCUAAUACCGCAUAACGUCGCAAGACCAAAGAGGGGGACCUUCGGGCCUCUCACUAUCGGAUGAACCCAGAUGGGAUUAGCUAGUAGGCGGGGUAACGGCCCACCUAGGCGACGAUCCAUAGCUGGUCUGAGAGGAGGACCAGCCACACUGGAACUGAGACACGGUCCAGACUCCUACGGGAGGCAGCAGUGGGGAAUAUUGGACAAUGGGCGCAAGCCUGAUGCAGCCAUGCCGCGUGUAUGAAGAAGGCCUUCGGGUUGUAAAGUACUUUCGGCGGGGAGGAAGGCGAUGUGGUUAAUAACCGUAUCGAUUGACGUUACCCGCAGAAGAAGCACCGGCUAACUCCGUGCCAGCAGCCGCCGUAA
rnacentral:rRNA from 1 species